CAUGCCGCGUGAGUGAAGAAGGCCUUCGGGUUGUAAAGCUCUUUUGUCAGGGAAGAAACACCGGCUCUAACACAGUCCGGGAAUGACGGUACCUGAAGAAUAAGCACCGGCUAACUACGUGCCAGCAGCCGCGGUAAUACGUAGGGUGCGAGCGUUAAUCGGAAUUACUGGGCGUAAAGCGUGCGCAGGCGGUUAUACAAGACAGGCGUGAAAUCCCCGGGCUUAACCUGGGAAUGGCGCCUGUGACUGUAUAGCUAGAGUGUGUCAGAGGGGGGUAGAAUUCCACGUGUAGCAGUGAAAUGCGUAGAUAUGUGGAGGAAUACCAAUGGCGAAGGCAGCCCCCUGGGAUAACACUGACGCUCAUGCACGAAAGCGUGGGGAGCAAACAGGAUUAGAUACCCUGGUAGUCCACGCCCUAAACGAUGCUGACUAGUUGUUCGGGAUUUACAUCCUGAGUAACGUAGCUAACGCGUGAAGUCAGCCGCCUGGGGAGUACGGUCGCAAGAUUAAAACUCAAAGGAAUUGACGGGGACCCGCACAAGCGGUGGACGAUGUGGAUUAAUUCGAUGCAACGCGAAAAAGCUUACCUACCCUUGACAUGUCACUAACGAAGUAGAGAUACAUUAGGUGCUCGUAAGAGAAAGU
rnacentral:rRNA from 1 species